GCGCUGCUGGGGGAGGAGGCCGCCCGCUGCGCCGCAGGGGAGGGAGUGCUGGCCUGUUCCAUCGUGAGUUCGAGGCUUCUGGAGCGCA
rnacentral:tRNA from 1 species